rnacentral:rRNA from 1 species
AUUGAACGCUAGCGGGAUGCCUUACACAUGCAAGUCGAACGAGUGGCGAACGGGUGCGUAAUGUCUGUGAAACUGCCCGAUGGAGGGGGAUAACUACUGGAAACGGUAGCUAAUACCGCAUCCCAUCUUAUUUGCCCAGAUGGGAUUCGCUAGUAGGUGGGGUAACGGCUCACCUAGGCGACGAUCCCUAGCUGGUCUGAGAGGAUGACCAGCCACACUGGAACUGAGACACGGUCAAGACUCCUACGGGAGGCAGCAGUGGGGAAUAUUGGACAAUGGGCGCAAGCCUGAUGCAGACAUGCCGCGUGUAGGAAGAAGGCCUUCGGGUUGUAAAGUACGUUCAGCGGGGAGGCGUUACCCGCAGAAGAAGCACCGGCUAACUCCGUGCCAGCAGCCGCGGUAAUUC